UUCCUACGGGAGGCAGCAGUGGGGAAUAUUGCACAAUGGGCGCAAGCCUGAUGCAGCGACGCCGCGUGAGGGAUGACGGCCUUCGGGUUGUAAACCUCUUUCAGUAGGGACGAAGCGCAAGUGACGGUACCUACAGAAGAAGCGCCGGCCAACUACGUGCCAGCAGCCGCGGUAAGACGUAGGGCGCGAGCGUUGUCCGGAUUUAUUGGGCGUAAAGAGCUCGUAGGCGGCUUGUCGCGUCGGCUGUGAAAACCCGUAGCUUAACUGCGGGCUUGCAGCUGAUACGGGCAGGCUGGAGUUCGGUAGGGGAGACUGGAAUUCCUGGUGUAGCGGUGAAAUGCGCAGAUAUCAGGAGGAAC
rnacentral:rRNA from 1 species